rnacentral:rRNA from 1 species
AGUGAACGCUGGCGGUAGGCCUAACACAUGCAAGUCGAACGAGUGGCGGCCGGGUGAGGAAUGCAUCGGAAUCUACUCUGGCGUGGGGGAUAAGGUAGGGAAACUUACGAUAAUACCGCAUCCGAUUGAAUGGGCCGAAGUCGGAUUAGGUAGUGGGAGUGGUAAAGGCCCACCAAGGCGACGAUCCGUAGCUGGUCUGAGAGGAUGAUCAGCCACACUGGAACUGAGACACGGUCCAGACUCCUACGGGAGGCAGCAGUGGGGAAUAUUGGACAAUGGGCGCAAGCCUGAUCCAGCCAUACCGCGUGGGUGAAGAAGGCCUUCGGGUUGUAAAGCCCUUUUGUUGGGAAAGCGGUACCCAAAGAAUAAGCACCGGCUAACUUCGUGCCAGCCGCCGCGGUAAUUC